UGGGGAAUAUUGGACAAUGGGCGCAAGCCUGAUCCAGCCAUGCCGCGUGAGUGAUGAAGGCCUUAGGGUUGUAAAGCUCUUUCAGUGGGGACGAUAAUGACGGUACCCACAGAAGAAGCCCCGGCUAACUUCGUG
rnacentral:rRNA from 1 species